AAUUCAUUAACCCAUAAACAAAGUCACAUAAAUUUGUUUUGCUCCUCUCCCUUUCACGUGAAAUCAUAAACUCUCAAACCCUCCUUCCCUGCUUCAGCACCACCGAACUCCUCCUUGUUUCAGCGCCGUCGGACCGCUGCCGCUGCGCCACCGCCCUCCGCCAGUCGCUAGCACCGUCGUGCGCGGCCCACGACCACCAGCCACCUUCUUCAUUCCCUCCACGAGGCGCCGCCCACCUACAGCGUCGUUGAUGCGCUGCCAGCCAUCAAAUCUCCCCUUCCUCUUCGUCGCGGGCUACCACCACAGGCUCACACAACAUCGCCACCGUUGCGCGACCACCUAGGGCCACCACCCGCGUCGCCCAGCGCCGACAACCACCCACCUGUCGCGCCGCCCUGCCGCCGGCAGCACUCCCUUUAUUCUCUCUCUUUUGGCAGAGAAUUCUCUGUAGGCGACUUUUGAAAGUGUUAAAGUAGCCUAUCAGUUUGUUUACACAAGGUACGUACAUACCUCUGUGAUUGUGGAUGUUGUAGACACCUACUUUUGUCCCCAUUCCCAAAAGGGAAGGUUCGAUGAUGAGAACAUAAAUCUCCACUUGGCAACGCAUCUCCUAUAAAAUAACGAAUCUCAAAUCACCCUUUCAUUUCAGCCAAAGCUUCCAUUUAUAGAAACCUGCUAAAAAUAGUAGCUGCCGUAAAAGGUAAUUGCUAAAAGUAGUAAGAAUAAAAAGAUAGAAACCUGUCAGAAUUAGGUGUUGCACUCCAACAUAAAUCCUAAAAGAGAUAGAAAUUGUAAAAGGAAUUCUAUUCCUAUCGCAAUUCGAUAAAAGAGUUAACGUAUUAAUUAAACUCAUAACGAACCUAGAGUUCCUAAAGGGACCAGACGCAUUCUGUCGUAAAUUGAUACGCACCAAAUAACUCGGAUUAAGUCUCUUAAUGGACUCCAUACUCUAGAGUCCAAUCUGACAAAGAAUUCUGCCCAGAUCCUAUUUUCAACGCCCAGCCCUGGGCGCCGAAAUCUUAGACGCCCAGUGCUGGGCGCCGAAAAUACCUGGGACAGAUUCUUUUCCUAAACCGUUUCGUAUUCAUAUUCCUGAAAAUCUAUCUUUCUACGCCACUUUUUCCUAUAAAUAGACCCCUAAAGCCGACGUGAAAACAACACACAAUUCAUCAUCUGAGUAUUGACUCCAACCCUAAGCCUAAGCCUCACGCUGCGAAAUUGAUCCCGCGUUCUGUCGCAAUCGACCCAAAAGUCGAACAGAACGUAUCAUGUCCCUUGUAGCCGAAGAAUUAAGCCCGGAUACUGGAACCUUGCUUGGAAACUCGAGAUUCGUUAAAUAAAAGGAGAAAUAGCAAAGCCAAAGUGGUUAGUUUUCUGAGAACCACAACGCACCUCUCAAGGGUGCGUUGUAAUGUGUCCCUUCGUAUGAUUUAAUCGCUUUCAUCACCCCUUUAUAAAAUUGUUAAACUAUUAAUUUGAUUGUUCUAUCACGCCUAAUAAAGAUAAUACCUUGGACAAUUGGACUAUCAUGCUAGGUACCGUAAAUCAAUCUAAAUAAGAUAAUCACGAUCGAUUUAGUAUUAUGUGUUGCAUAUUGCUAAAAUUAAUUCAGAGUAGUUUAAUAGUUAACGCAUGUCCCUUAAAUUAUUUAUGCUUAGCUAGUAAGGAUAACCUGCCUCUGGAGUUACCGAAGAGCACUCCUCUCGGUAGUUAUAGUCCCCCGAACUCUCAAUCUCUGUCCUGCGGGUGUACAUUAAGCGAUCCCCACACCAGGGAUCACAAGGGAACCUAUGGCCGUCGUGGUCAAACAUAAUUUCACUCCCUUUAUGUCACGAUAAUCGGGUUUUGUCAGUUUUCUCAUUGUCGUUAAAAACUGAAUGACGACUCCUAUAUUACUAGUCGAUUGGGUGUAAACUCACAGGAAAUCCAAUUACACUUGAUCUGACAACGUCACGCCCACCAGGGACGAGGUCACGCAUUAGCCUCGUGCUUUUUCGACCCCCUCACAGUGGCGACUCCGCUGGGGAAGUGAAGGAAAUACUCGUGCUCGUAGGUAAUCAAAAUAGCCGAAGGGUGAAACGAUGCUACCCUACGUUUGUUUCCCUAUCAAGUUGGGACAACCUGAAAAUCAGCAUAUUAAUGUGAACGGGCAGAACCGCAUAACGAAUCUUGGCUCCCUUGGCAUGUUUCAUCUCGGGAGUUGGGACUAAGGAUACCCAUCGCCAACCGGGGGGUGCAUACGCUUCGAAUGUUGUCCACUCGGCACUUGUCGCUAGUAGUACACCAGUCCUAAACCCAAUCGCUCGCCCACUAGGACCCUCUCAUUGGUGCAUGCCCCCUUGGCUUACAUCGUGAUUGGCCUCUUGGGACGAAAUUCGUCUGUUGAAGGCACUACCUUGACCGGGGCAUAUGUUGGAUCUACGAUAGAAGCGGUACCAAGCCGACGCAAAUAUUACCCAUAGAAGCCUAUCAUAAACUACAUGACAUAUUAUUAUCUUGCCUCAUAUUGUAAUGUUAGUUAUGUGUAGCGAAUUAUGUGAUUGUAUAUGACGAAUAAUACUAGAAAACCAACGACCUUAAAAAAAAUUGUCCAAACAUUCAUAAACACCAAUUGGCCGAAGAGUUACACCAAAAUACGUGUUCCGCAACCCCGGACGAUCGCCACAAAAAUAUGCGACGCCCAGGACGGCCUGUAACGGAUCCCACGACGCUGCAUAACGCGCAAAGGACGUUAUUGGGCAAGCACGCAAAAUUAAGUCGUAUAUACGAAAAAAAUAGACGAACAGAAUACGAGUACCAGUCAGGGACGCAUUUUCAGCGCCCCUGGCUGGGCGACAAUUAUUUCAACGCCCCUGCUAGGCGCUGAAGUUGCUGCUUGGCCUUUUGGCCAGACACCGCAGCCUCGGUGCCCGCGCACAAAAUAUACGUAGCAAUAAAAAAUUCGUAACAAAUUUGCUACGAGGACGUAUGAAAAAGGCACUCAAAUUCUAAGAACGACUUAUAAAAUAAAUAACUCCUUGCGUCGUCAUUAGGCCUCCUAUGACGACAAUGUUCGGCACCAAAACCAAGCAUGCUAAUUAAAAUAACCUUGAAUGUCAAAUGGGCAAAGUAUUCAAAAAAUAAUGUUCAAAUAGAGUUUUCAAGGAAAAAUAAUGUUCGAAUAAAAAAAUAAAUAAAUCCGACUCUAGACUAGGCUAUGCCAAAGUACAAUCUAAAUCCUAAGUCUUAGUUGUCUUAUCCAUAGAAUCGGUCCUAAUGCUUGGUGUCGUUCUGCAAGUUAAAAGGUUAAACCAUAUUGAGUCUCCCUUCCUAACAUUUAAAUCAAUAAGCACCCAUAUGUAAUUGUCAUCCCUUACUAAGAAUCUACGGCCUCAAUACUCUCUCUCACAAAUAAAAAGAAUAUAUUAUGUAAUCCAAGUAUUUGCAAAAUGGAAACAGUCACAUUCUGAAAAUCAUUCCUCCAUAGUCGCACCACCCCCAAAGUGAACCUAAGGUGUCAAUACCAUUGGCAAAAAAUUAAUGGCCUCAAGGCUUAUGAUCACAUUGGGUCACGACUAUCAUAGUCCUCUCGAGCCCUUGAAAUACUCCUAAGUACGGACUAAAAGAUUUUCCAUGAACGCAACAUGACAAACCAUGAAAAUACUCAAAUCGGCAUGCCAUAAGGCUACCAUCGGGGUAAAGCAAUACACACUAAGAGGAAAGCCGCACUAAUGUUUCUAGUCUUGCAAAAAUGAAAAUUCGAUCUCCCCAACUAACCACCUCGCCAACACUAAGCAAAAUGGCGCAUGACAAAUGAACACCCAAGGGUUAAAAUCUAAAGUGUCAAACAACGAAAGUUAUUGUCCAAUUAGCCUGAGUCUGAGAAUCGCUUGGUCAAGUAUUAUAGGCUUACGCCACGUCAUUAUCUUGAGUCUAGGCCACCUCCUUGUAUUCAUACACGGGUUAUAAUCAGAAAAAUUAAUGAAAGUUCGAGUCUAAAUCACAACUUCCAAUUAAAUCCCGGAAACUGAAAUUUGAAAAGAAGCGAAAAAAAUUAUUUUCGAUGUAAUUCUUUCGUUAAAUUUCAAUAAAGUAAAAAUAACAUUUUGAAUCUACGCUAUUUGCACAUUUUAAGAAACGACUAAAUACGCUUGCAAAGUAAGACAAUUUAAAGGCCCACCCUAGGCCUACUAAAGUUAAAGGUCCACUAUAGGCCUACCAAACGAGGCUCACUCAGUCUCGCCUCGUGACUCAAAGACCACAACCAUCUACCUUUUAGCCCAAAUAAAAAAAAAAUUAAAGGAUUUAUGUUGGGGAGAAAUCCCAAGCAAAAAGAAAAAAAAAAGAAAGAGAAAAGGGAGAGCGAAAAGAGCGAGCCAUGAAAUACUUAAAGAGAAAGAGAAAAGGGAGAGCGAAAAGAGCGAGCCAUGAAAUACUUAAAGAGAAAGAGAAAAGGGAGAGCGAAAAGAGCGAGCCAUGAAAUACUUAGCCCGUACCUCCCAAAGUGCGAAAUCUACCCAAGUAAACGAAGGAAAAGAAUUGAGUCAACCAACCGAAAUCAUACCACAAAAACUACAUAAAGUUCUACGAUCUUCUACCCUUUCCAAUCCUCAUGCUUGACUAAUACCUAUACAAAUUAUCCUAUCUCAUUCAACCCAUCUUUCAAGCCGUCUUGUGUCACGAAUAAAAAAAAACAAUGAAAAGUACAUUCUACGCUUAACGUAAAAAAAAUAUAAUAGUAUAAUAAUAAAAAAUGAAACUUUGCAAAGCGCCUUUAAAGUUCGUCUAAAAAGAAAGAAGAAGCAUCUAGCGCACAAAAAAGAUUCGCAAAUAUUUGGCACAAAAGGAAAAGAAGCAACGCACCAAAAAAGAUCUGUCCAGAAAUCAUUUUCAGCGUCCAAAGCUGGGCGCCGAAAUCUUUAACGCCCCAGACUGGGCGCCGAAUCUCUCUCUGCUUGCCAAAUUCUGCCCAGAAGUGCUCGUCAUUUUAUCCGCACAUACACGGAAAAAUAACGAACACUUGGGGGGGGGGGGGGUACAACACGAAUUCAGAUAUACGUACCAAAAUUCAGAUAUAGGUACCAAAAAAACACAUGAAAAGAUUUUUGUACAAAAUACAUGGCUUACGGCAAAGCAGCAGAUUAAAAUAAUAAUAAACUUCAGUUAUUCUACCGUUUCAAAUAAUAUGUUUCCAUCUCAGAACAUACUUAUCGAAUUCGGCAUUCUAUGAAACCAUUUUCUAGGCUAAGAACUACGCAAGACCUGAUUCCAAAUUAAAUCUAUUUAAGGCGGAUACGUAGGCAAUCCAUGAUUCGGUCCAACCAAUUUGCAAAAAUGUUAAAGCCUAUAGAAUAACAAGAAUAAAAAAAUAGAGUCCCUUAUUCAAGUUUAAUUACUUGCAAUCCAAGUCGAAAGAAAAUGAGAAUCUUUAAAAAAACAUUUUAUAAAAACAAGGGGGUUUUCUUGUUUAGCUAACCCUGAAAAUGAGAAUCUUUAAAAAAAGAUUUUUACCUCGUGAUUGGGCUUGGCCAGGCCUGGUUACAUUUUAUAGCUUUGAUUUCGAAAACAUCUGUAGAUACUUCCAAUGACAAAGUGAAGGAGUUUCUAUACAUCUUUAGGUACUUCCAAUGACAAAGUGAGGGAGUUUCUAUACUUAACAAAUUCCAAUGACAUGUGAGGAAUGUGUUAACACUUCAAGUGAUGACCCUUAAGUCAAAUGUUAUCACUCGGGGGCCCGUGAGACCCUCGCAAAACAGGUCACAUACACCAUGGCUUGUAUGACGCACUCCGUCUGAUACUUUGACCAUCGUUUUACUCCAAGACUCAAUCAAAGUGGGGGCUAACUGUAGACACCUACUUUUGUCCCCAUUCCCGAAAGGGAAGGUUCGAUGAUGAGAACAUAAAUCUCCACUUGGCAACGCAUCUCCUAUAAAAUAACGAAUCUCAAAUCACCCAUUCAUUUCAGCCAAAGCUUCCAUUUAUAGAAACGUGCUAAAAAUAGUAGCUGCCGUAAAAGGUAAUUGCUAAAAGUAGUAAGAAUAAAAAGAUAGAAACCUGUCAGAAUUAGGUGUUGCACUCCAACAUAAAUCCUAAAAGAGAUAGAAAUUGUAAAAGGAAUUCUAUUGCUAUCGCAAUUUGAUAAAAGAGUUAACGUAUUAAUUAAACUCAUAACGAACGUAGAGUUCGUAAAGGGCCCAGACGCAUUCCGUCGUAAAUUGAUACGCACCAAAUAACUCAGAUUAAGUCUCUUAAUGGACUCCGUACUCUAGAGUCUAAUCUGACAAAGAAUUCUGCCCAGAUCCUAUUUUCAACGCCCAGCCCUGGCCGCCGAAAUCUUUGACGCCCAGCGCUGGGCGCCGAAAAUACUUGGGACAGAUUCUUUUCCUAAACUGUUUCGUAUUCAUAUUCCUGAAAAUCUAUCUUUCUACGCCACUUUUUCCUAUAAAUAGACCCCUAAAGCCGACGUGAAAACAACACACAAUUCAUAAUCUGAGUAUUGACUCUAACCCUAAGCCUAAGCCUCACGCUGCAAAAUUGAUCCCGCGUUCUGUCGCAAUCGACCCAAAAGUCGAACAAAACGUAUCAUGUCCCUUGUAGCCGAAGAAUUAAGCCCGGAUACUGGAACCGUGCUUGGAAACUCGAGAUUCGUUAAAUAAAAGGAGAAAUAGCAAAGCCAAAGUGGUUAGUUUUCUGAGAACCACAACGCACCUAUCAAGGGUGCGUUGUAAUGUGUCCCUUCAUAUGAUUUAAUCGCUUUCAUCGCCCUUUUAUAAAAUUGUUAAACUAUUAAUUUGAUUGUUCUAUCACGGCUAAUAAAGAUAAUACCUUGGACAAUUGGACUAUCAUGCUAGGUACCGUAAAUCAAUCUAAACAAGAUAAUCACGAUUGAUUUAGUAUUAUGUGUUGCAUAUUGCUAAAAUCAAUUCAGAGUAGUUUAAUAGUUAACGCAUGUCCCUUCAAUUAUUUAUGCUGAGCUAGUAAGGAUAACCUGCCUCUGGAGUUACCGAAGAGCACUCCUCUCGGUAGUUACAGUCCCCCGAACUUUCAAUCUCUGCCCUGCGGGUGUACGUUGAGCGAUCCCCACAACAGGGAUCACAAGGGAACCUAUGGCCGUUGUGGUCAAACAUAAUUGCACUCCCUUUAUGUCACGAUAACCGGGUUUUGUCAGUUUUUCUCAUUGUCGUUAAAACCUGAAUGGCGACUCCUAUAUUACUAGUCGAUUGGGUGUAAACUCACAGGAAAUCCAAUUACACUUGAUCUGACAACGUCACGCCCACGAGGGACGAGGUCACGCAUUAACCUCGUGCUUUUUCGACCCCCUCACAGAUGUGUGUUAUUGUUGAAAUGUAUUUAUGAACUUGUUUAUGUUGAAAUUUCAUGUUCAAUGCCGUUGGAUGAAUGCGUUGAGCAUAUAUUUUUAUUAUAAUAAUUAUAACAUGUUAUCAUGGAUGUUUGAUGUAAGCAUGUCAGUUGGGAACUUUAUAUUAUUUUAUACAUAUUGGUUCAGAUCGAUUGAUCGUUGUUCCCUUUUAGCAAUUCACUACUUUAUGAGGGUCGAGGACCUUGUUUAGUAAGUUGAUCAUUUACACAUACAUAAAGGUGUUUAACCAUUGAUAAAGGAAAGGUUGAAUUAAUUGGAAUGGAUUCUUGAUUGAUAACUUUGUGAUCGCUUACCUAAUUCCAAGAUAAAAACAGUUGUGAAUACUUGUUGAUUAUAUGAUUUAUGUGAUUGUCGAGUCAUAACAAAGUAUUAAUCGGUAAAUCAUGUAAAGUGAAACUGGAUAGCAAUAGCUUUAGACUGUGCACGUCUGAAGUGACGGACAAACAGGAGUUGGGGUUCAUGGUGGUAGCCCAUGACCUUUUUCUGGGACCGGAUUGAUCACCGUGUUCUCUUUUAUUCAAAAGUUCCUCGAUAUCGCAAGUCACUGAGGUUACAGAGUCGCGCCCGUACCUCGUCUUCCUUAGUGAAGACUUCUGGUUGGACAACUCGGUCUAUUGACUAUUUCAAUUAAAAUAGUAUUUUUGUUAUAAAAGUCUAGUCUAGUCUAGUCUAGUGUAGCCUAAUCUAGUUAAGUGUGGUCUUCAAAUUAAUAUGUUUUGUCUGCCCUUACUUAUGUUUUAUUAGUAUCAUGUUAGGAUUGUUCGUUUAAUAGAAUCAUGUUAGGAUUAUUAAUGAUUUAGUAUGUAGUACUCAGCUUUGCUGAUUACGUACUUUGUUUGUAUAUGUUGAUCAUGGCUAUGCCUUGUUGAUCCUGGGAUGACCCAUUUUGGUGAGCAGUCUCUAAGGAUCAAUAAGCAUUGUCCAUCUAUAGGUUUGAAGAUGAUGCAUCAUUGAGAUCGGGAUUAGAGAGCUUUUAUUUAGUUUUGAUUCGCUCAGUUGACUUGGGUUUGUUAAAUUGAAAUUUAAACUUGUCGUACUAGCUACGUCACUUUAUUUUCGUUGAUCGGUUUUGGAUUUUACUCUGUAAUUGAUUAUUUAUAAACCUAAAGUUAGUUUUAUGUU